AACAAGUUCGUUUUCACAAAAUCGCAACAAUAUAAAAUAGAAUGUAACAGAGACAUAAGAAAAAAGAAGUACGAGAAAGAGGAGAUAAUCAUUUUGAGCAUUUCAACUUCUCCGUCACAUUCGGCAACUAAAAAUAC
ensembl:ncRNA H22K11.6 ncRNA